rnacentral:lncRNA from 1 species
CUAAAGUUGCAAGGCUCUGCUUAUCUGCUGAGGGUGAAACUGGGUAAGAUUGGUUGGCAGAAGCUGGAGCUAAUAGCAGGCGCUCACUCUGCUCCCGGGAUUUGAACCUGUGACCUUUCAGUCUUACACAAUCAGUGGCAUACCAGUAUUGAAGAAUACACUUUCCUUUGGAAAUGGAAUCAGAUUCAGAAACCAAAUCCUUGAUCAUUCACAUUGACAACAAGGCAUACGAAGAUGUUAAAGUGACUGCUAGUGCCAGACCUUUCUUCAAGUUGCUGGAUGGCAACGUGAUUUUCUUCUGGUACAAAUGGCUAGCAUCAAUCAUCUCCACAAAAGUUCGCGCUAAAAAGAGAAAAAAUAAAAAGAAAAAAAAUGAUGCAUUUGUCGGCCUCCCUGAGCUGUUGAAGAAUUCUCCACUGCAGAGUAUUUGA